CGCCGCCCUGCCGUCGUGCAGGCAUGCAGCCAGCCGUUUUGGAACCGAGCCCUCGGCGCAUUCCGCGCCGCUCCACCACACAGCGCCGGCAGCAGUUGCCUCAGGCCACCGGCGGCCCCAACCAACUUCUCCGCCGGGCUGCGACAGCGGUGGCUCGCCGCGCAGUGUGAGGAAUGAGGAUAAUGGAUCGCUUGGCUUAGCCUCAUGAUGCUGUCUGUAACAUCUGGUGUGGUUUGCUGUAUGGUGCUACAGGUUGCAGGCUCAAAUCAUACAUUUGAGGCAGGAACUGUUGGACCGCACAUGCUUUAAACCCAGAAAGUUGUGCUCCUUCAUUCUGGGUGUUGCUCAGUAACAUAGACACUGCUUUAAAUGCUUUGUUGAAGGUCUGUGCAUUCUUUUCUGACCAGAUGUUCCAUAUUAACAACAUGACAACAAUUUUCCAGCCUGACCUGUAAUCCUUCAGAACCAGAAGCUUUGAUCCACUGCCAGACCACCAGAGCAAUGCAGCUAAAGUGAUUAACUGAUUAUAUUCUGGCGUCUGCUGAAUUCCUCGCCACAAGUUGAUUUCUUUGAAAAUUUACUUGGAAUAGGAGCAUCGAAGAACCAGAUUGUCAGCGGUGUGACAUUCAUUGUAUAGCUCAAUAGAAAAAGAUUGCGCUCCAUGGGGUUCCAGCUCGGUGUUGAAUGGAAAAGAAAAUGACAGUCAAUCCGAAGAGCAGUAGUGCUCUAGUUUUGUUUGUGCAAGUUUUGCGCGCAGAGCUUCCGUUCCAUGGAUACAGUGUCGCCAUAACGGACUAGAACACGGCUGUUGUCGUUGUCGCCAGUUUCUGAAUGAGAUCUUCAGUUCAACGCUGUCAGACCAGAACAAGGUGGACGUGCCGGGGCCGUCAGCCUGUACACGGCCUUGAAAGCGUCCAACUGUACUGGGAAUGUCGCAGGUAGGUCGCUCUCGCUCAGACGCUGAUGCAGGUGCGAACAGAUAAAAAAACAAUUUAUAUUUAGAGCACAGUUGAUUUUCUUUUGUCCUGUAUGUAUGAUUAUAUCCGUGUAACUUGGAACCCGUGGAAAUGCCCAUGUAUUUUUAAUGCAACGUUCCAUCGCAAUAAAUUACGAAAUAUUUGU